GUACCUUUCUCGGCCUUUCGGCUAAGAUCUAGUCUAAUAUUAAAUUAAUAUUUCAUAUCUGAUUAUGGGCCAUCGGCGGCCCACAUGAUAUUAAAUUAAUUUUUCAUGGGGGAUGGCCCACCAAGGUAGCUUGCUAUUAUGUGGGCCUUCGAGCGUUGCUACGCAAUACUGUAUGGGCCUGGCGCACCCCUC